AGUACUUACUACAUUAUCAAUUCUACAUAAAAUUUAAGAUGGAUUGAUUGUAAUAAAAUGUUACAUACAGUAUAGGUUAUGUACAAAUGGGAAGGGGGUAAGGAAGGUUCUAGAAGAUUCGCGUGCGACCCCGUUUCCGGUGUAUAUUAAAAGGUUGCCUAUGUUCUUAGUUGGAAGAAAUAAUGCUUUGCCUAGGUAGGGUCAAUACGAGACAAGGGAAAGUUAACGAGGCACAACAGGUAAAUCUAUGGGUUAGCAAAAAAUUGUGCAAACGUGUCAGUUUCGAAAAUACAUAUGUAUAUUCUACACCACGUGCCAGAGGCCUACGUAAGCACGAAGAUAAUACGAGGCAGCUGCUUCGUGCAGGUGAAGAAAGCAGAUGCUUCCUUACAAUAAAACAUGGAGUUAGAAUUUCA